AACGAACGCUGGCGGCAGGCCUAACACAUGCAAGUCGAACGCCGUAGCAAUACGGAGUGGCAGACGGGUGAGUAACGCGUGGGAACAUACCCCCUCGGUUCGGGAAUAACUUAGGGAAACGUUGUAGCUAAUACCGGAUACGUCCGAGGUUUUAACCGGUCCUCGGAGAAAGAUUUAUCGCCGGAGGAUUGGCCCGCGUCUGAUUAGCUUGUUGGUGAGGUAAUGGCUCACCAAGGCGACGAUCAGUAGCUGGUCUGAGAGGAUGAUCAGCCACAUUGGGACUGAGACACGGCCCAAACCUCCUACGGGAGGGCAGCAGUGGGGAAGUAUUGGACAAUGGGCGGAAAGCCUGAUCCAGCCAUGCCGCGUGAGU
rnacentral:rRNA from 1 species